CCAACUUACCAAAAGCCGUCAUCCCAUAAUAGUCUCAUAGAGGUAUUCUCACCCCAUAAAACCGAAUUCAACUUGAUUUACAUUUAAACCAAAUUCAACCUAAGUUGUUUUAAUUCUUACUUUUAGGGAAAAAAAAAAAAAAACACUUGGUUCAGAACUCGUAUAUCAUGUGUUCUAUACUUUAAAACACAAAACGAACAAAAUUAAUUGACCAAUUUCUUUUGAAAAUUAAAGUGGCUCAUGGGUUUGAUCGCCAAGAGUUCCUCCCCCUAAUGCACUACCCACACACUGUAAAAUUGGUUGAAAAGACAAAUUACAUGAUUUAUUACAGAGAAAAUUGUAGUAAAUAAAAGCUAAGAGGAAUUAAAGGUUUGUAAAACUGACUGAAAAAAAAAAAAAAAAAAAAAAAAAAAUCACAACAGAUAUAAUAUAAACCAGCAAUACAAUCCGGGGGGAAAAAGAAAA